ACUUUACGUAACAUGACACUCGCAUUAUUACUCGCAUCAUCUGUUACUUUAUCAGACAAGAAAAAUCGUAUUUAUGUACAUAUUUAUUUAGAAAAAGAGUGUGAAGAAAACGGAUUUAAAAUAGGUUGCAAUAAAUCCAAGGAGGAAGAUCGUACAUGUUGUGGAGGUCAAGGUCAACAAACUCCCAACAGCAACAGGCGUCUUCCACCAAGGCAAAAUAGUAGCAUGAAGAAAAAGUUGAAGAUUCACGUAAUCUAUUGCGGUGGGUGAGGUUACAGUGCUCGUUUCAAGAAUCUAAGGAAGAAACUUGAGCGAGUGUUUCCUGACCAGUUACAAAUUACCGGUGAAUCAACCCCUUACAUAUCAGGAAAAUUUGAAGUUCGAAUUGUAAAUGGACAGUUUCUUCAUUCCAAAAAGAACGGGAUGGGUUUUGUAGACACAGAAUCAAAGUUUGCUAAUUUAGAGGCCGGAAUUCGUCACGAGCUUGAGGGCAUGGAUCAAGAGAAAGUACAACAGUCUUCUCCAGCAACAGAGGAGAGAAAGUCAACAACGAGCGGAUUGUCCAAAUAAUUUUAGCCAAAUAAAUCCAACCGACAUAACAUUGUUUCGUCAUUAAUGAUGCAAAAUACUGAAACCAUUUUGUUGGAGGUUUUUGCGGAUUAAUUUAUGAUGAAAAUGGGUGAAAGUGCAAAUAAAUAAGUAAAUGCAUA